GAUGAAGAACGUAGCGAAAUGCGAUAAGUAGUGUGAAUUGCAGAAUUCAGUGAAUCAUCGAAUCUUUGAACGCACAUUGCGCCCCUUGGUAUCCCGAGGGGCAUGCCUGUUCGAGCGUCAUUUCACCACUCAAGCCUGGCUUUGUGUUGGGCGACGUCCCCUUUGGGGACGCGCCUCGAAACGCUCGGCGGCGUGGCACCGGCUUUAAGCGUAGCAGAAUCUUUCGCUUUGGAAGUCGGGGCCCCGUCUGCCGGAAGACCUACUCGCAAGGUUGACCUCGGAUCAGGCAGGGAUACCCGCUGAACUUAAGCAUAUCAAUAAGCGGAGGA
rnacentral:misc_RNA from 1 species